UAGAAUAUUAUGAACUGUUACGAUAAACACCCUUUACAGUAUCCACAGCAAUUAAAUUUAUUUUUUUCCUGAGACAAGAUCUCACUCUGUUGCUCAGGCUGGAUGCAGUGGCACGAUCUUCACUCAUUGCAACCUCCAUCUCCUGGGUUCAAGCAAUUCUUCCCCCUCAGCCUCCUGAGUAGCUGGGACUACAGUGUGUGCCCUCAUGACCAGCUAAUUUUUGUAUUUUUUGGGGAGAAACGGGGUUUCACCAUGUUGGCCACGCUGGUCUCGAACUCUUGACCUCAACUGAUCUGCCCACCUUGGCCUCCCAAAUAACCUUAAAUCUUAAGGUUGAUGCAUGCCUCUUAAUCUCUUGGUUUGCCCAUCAGAAACUGAAUCAUGGGCUCACUAGGAGAAAUUGUCAGUUUAAAAAUCCUAUGCUUUUCAAAGAGGUUUUAUUUUGGAUAACUGUUGCAAUUAUAGACCUAGAGAAGACAUUUAACCCACCCAUGUUUCAGUUUCUAUUUUCUUCCUCACUAGAUUAUUUUAUUCACUUUUCAAUUUUUAAAAAUUAGAUUUAUUGCAGACUGGCCUCAAGCUCCCAGACUAUAUUUUUUAGCUGCAUUAUUUAGGGGUUGAAAUGCCAGCUUUUGAGACUUUUGAAAAAUUCACAGGCUGGGUGUGGAGGCUCAUGCCUGUGAAGGUUGCAGUGAGCUGAGAUCGUGCCACUGCACUCCAACCUGGGUGACGAGAGUGAGAC
rnacentral:lncRNA from 1 species